AAUUUGAUUUCCAUGAAACGUGUUUUACAAUCAAUACUCAAUAUAAACCCACAUAACUUCUUCACCCACAUUUUUUUUUCAAACCCCACCCUCAACUGUUCCGUUACCGUAAACCACCACUCUCAACAACCAUGACAACAGCCACAUUCGCCGUCGCUACCGGACUUACACGACUGCUAACCGCCGCUAUCCUGUUCAAACGUCACAACCGGCAACUUAGUUCUAGUAGCCUUCCUCUACGGUGACAACGAAACCGAUCCUUCCGUUGUGUUCUUUUUACAAUGUUGUGGAGUGGAAACAACCACCGACACACGCCACCUCUCUUCCGUUUAAGCACCGCAACCAUCCACAACCGCACCAUCAUGCCUCCGCGAACCAGACUCGCCGUUGUUGUUCAGCCACAUAUCCACCACUCACCACCACACAUAGCCGCACCGUGUCCGCCACAGCUUCAUCGCGGCCACCAUCACUCCCAAACCAGACUGUUGUCGCCUUCAGUUACCGUCACAAAUAGACGACCACGGCUAUCUAUCACAAUCACCGCCACCGUUUCGUACCGCCAGUGAGCCACAGUCCGUCACGAACCACAGCUGUUGCGGCUGCCGCCUUUGUUCGGGAGUGGACAUAGCCGGCAACACUAAUCAUCUAUGUGGAAGUAAUUUGUUUGUUCCGCUUGUCUAUGGAGGUUCUCGUAUACAUUAAAGACUACUUGAUUUAUUCUUUUGCUUGGCUAAUAUAAGGUAAUUUGUGAGACCGGGGAAAUCAGUGAGGAGCGUUAAACACAGGUUGGAGGUCAAGCAAGAUUAUUUAACUUUUGUCAUGUCAUAAAAUGUAAUUAGGAUCCUUUUGAUUUAAUGUUAUGGGCUACUUUUUGGA